rnacentral:rRNA from 1 species
AGUGGCGGACGGGUGAGUAACGCGUGAGAAUCUGCCUUCGGGUCGGGGACAACCACUGGAAACGGUGGCUAAUACCGGAUAAGCCGAUUGGUGAAAGAUUUAUUGCCCGAAGAGGAGCUCGCGUCUGAUUAGCUAGUUGGUGAGGUAAGAGCUCACCAAGGCAGCGAUCAGUAGCUGGUCUGAGAGGACGAUCAGCCACACUGGGACUGAGACACGGCCCAGACUCCUACGGGAGGCAGCAGUGGGGAAUUUUCCGCAAUGGGCGAAAGCCUGACGGAGCAAGACCGCGUGAGGGAGGAAGGCUCUUGGGUUGUAAACCUCUUUUCUCAGGGAAGAAGCUCUGACGGUACCUGAGGAAUCAGCCUCGGCUAACUCCGUGCCAGCAGCCGCGGUAAUACGGAGGAGGCAAGCGUUAUCCGGAAUUAUUGGGCGUAAAGCGUCCGCAGGUGGCGAUUCAAGUCUGCUGUCAAAGCACGGGGCUUAACUCCGUAAAGGCAGUGGAAACUGAAUAGCUAGAGUGCCGUAGGGGUAGAGGGAAUUCCCGGUGUAGCGGUGAAAUGCGUAGAGAUCGGGAAGAACAUCGGUGGCGAAAGCGCUACUGGACGGCAACUGACACUCAGGGACGAAAGCUAGGGGAGCGAAUGGGAUUAGAUACCCC